rnacentral:rRNA from 1 species
GACGAACGCUGGCGGCGUGCUUAACACAUGCAAGUCGAACGGAAAGGCCCUGCUUUUGUGGGGUGCUCGUGUGGCGAACGGGUGAGUAACACGUGAGUAACCCGCCCUUUACUGUGGGAUAACUUUAGGAAACUGGGGCUAAAACCGGAGAGGAGCUUUUGAUCCAUGGUGGGGGUUGGAAAGUUUCGGCGGUUGGGGAUGGACUCGCGGGUUAUCAGCUUGUUGGUGAGGUAGUGGAUUACCAAGGUUUUGACGGGUAGCCCACAUGAGAGCGUGACCGGGCACAUGAGGCCUGAGAGACGGCGCAGACUCGUACGGGAGGCAGAAGUGGAGAGUAUUGCGCAAUGGGCGGAAGCCUGUUGCGACAACGCCGCGUGCGGAAUGACGGGCUUCGAGUUGUGAACCGAUUUCGACGGUGACGAGGCGUGAGUGACGGUAAUGAGUAAGAAAGCACCGGCUAACUACGUG